AGGGCUUUACAGCGGUAGUACGGCGGUCUCCAAAACCGUUAACGGGGGUUCGAUUCCCUCUUCCCCUGC
rnacentral:tRNA from 1 species